AAUCUAUUAUUUUUCACUUUCUGUCCUGUAUUGACAACUGCUGGAGAUAUCAAGGAUUCUGGGUUGCAGAAUUCCUGUUAACAUUGUUGGAGCAAGGAAUAUGGUGUAUUUUGAGGAUUUAGUGUUAAGCAAUGAAGAAAACUUCCAGGGAAAUCUUGUUCCCAAUUAAACAUGGUGUAUUGAACUAAUUAAGGGCUAAUGAUGCUUAACCUGCAUGAUUUACAUGGACUUUCUUUAAUUAUGUUUUACUAAGUUUAGUACUCCAACUAAAACUUGAUGUUGUAAUAAACUGGGUUGUGUUUUGAACUAAAUUUGGAUGGUUUGAUCUAAUUUGCUUUAUAUUCA